rnacentral:ncRNA from 1 species
GAGGACCGGAGUGGACGAACCGCUGGUGUUCGGGUUGUGUCGCCAGACGCAUUGCCCGGUAGCUAAGUUCGGCACAGAUAAGCGCUGAAAGCAUCUAAGCGCGAAGCUGGCCCCGAGAUGAGUCAUCCCUAGAGCUUCGAGCUCUCUAAAGGGUUGUUCUAGACUAGAACGUUGAUAGGCAGGGUGUGUAAGCGCUGUGAGGCGUUGAGCUAACCUGUACUAAUUGCCCGUGAGGCUUAACCAU